rnacentral:rRNA from 1 species
CCUACGGGAGGCUGCAGUGGGGAAUAUUGGGCAAUGGGCGCAAGCCUGACCCAGCAACGCCGCGUGAAGGAAGAAGGCUUUCGGGUUGUAAACUUCUUUUCUGAGGGACGAAGAAAGUGACGGUACCUCAGGAAUAAGCCACGGCUAACUACGUGCCAGCAGCCGCGGUAAUACGUAGGUGGCAAGCGUUAUCCGGAUUUAUUGGGUGUAAAGGGCGUGUAGGCGGGAGAGCAAGUCAGAUGUGAAAACUACAGGCUUAACCUGUAGCCUGCAUUUGAAACUGUUCUUCUUGAGUGAUGGAGAGGCAGGCGGAAUUCCUAGUGUAGCGGUGAAAUGCGUAGAUAUUAGGAGGAACACCAGUGGCGAAGGCGGCCUGCUGGACAUUAACUGACGCUGAGGCGCGAAAGCGUGGGGAGCAAACAGGAUUAGAUACCCGGGUAGUC